rnacentral:rRNA from 1 species
CAACUUGAGAAUUUGAUCUUGGUUCAGAUUGAAUGCUGACAGCGUGGAUGAGGCAUGCAAGUCGAACGCUAUUAUGGGGCAACUCGUAAUAGAGUGGCGGAAGGGUUAGUAAUACAUGAAUAACUUGCCUUUAACCUGGGGAUAACGGCUGGAAACGGCCGCUAAUACCGAAUGAGGUUGCUGGAGGAUACUCCGGUUAAUCAAAGUGGGGGACCGGUAACGGCCUUGCGGUUAGAGAGAGGUUCAUGGGAUAUCAGCUAGUUGGUGUGGUAAUGGCGCACCAAGGCUAAGACGUCUAGGCGGAUUGAGAGAUUGACCGCCAACAUUGGGACUGAGAUACUGCCCAGACUCCUACGGGAGGCUGCAGUCGAGGAUCUUUCGCAAUGGGCGAAAGCCUGACGGAGCGACGCUGUGUGAGUGAUGAAGGCCUUCGGGUCGUAAAACUCUUUUGCCUGUGAACAAGAAAGAUUCGUGAAUAACGAGUCAAUUUGAGAGUAGCAGGAGAAAAAGCACCGGCUAACUACGUGCCAGCAGCUGCGGUAAUACGUAGGGUGCAAGCAUUAAUCGGAAUUAUUGGGCGUAAAGGGCGCGUAGGCGGAUUGAUAAGUCAGAUGUGAAAUACCAAAGCUCAACUUUGGUGCUGCAUUUGAAACUGUCUCUCUAGAGGAUUGACGGAGAAAGGGGAAUUCCACGUGUAGCGGUGAAAUGCGUAGAUACGUGGAGGAACACCGGUGGCGAAAGCGCCUUUCUAGUUUAGACCUGACGCUGAGGCGCGAGAGCAAGGGGAGCAAACAGGAUUAGAUACCCUGGUAGUCCUUGUCGUAAACGAUGUUUACUUGAUGUAGUUAGGCUCAACCCUGACUGUGUCGUAGCUAACGCGAUAAGUAAACCGCCUGAGGAGUACGCUCGCAAGGGUGAAACUCAAAAGAAUUGACGGGGGCCCGCACAAGCAGUGGAGCAUGUGGUUUAAUUCGAUGCAACGCGAAG